rnacentral:rRNA from 1 species
GAUGAACGCUGGCGGCGUGCCUAAUACAUGCAAGUCGAGCGAACAGACGAGGAGCUUGCUCCUCUGACGUUAGCGGCGGACGGGUGAGUAACACGUGGAUAACCUACCUAUAAGACUGGGAUAACUUCGGGAAACCGGAGCUAAUACUGGAUAAUAUAUUGAACCGCAUGGUUCAAUAGUGAAAGACGGUUUUGCUGUCACUUAUAGAUGGAUCCGCUCCGCAUUAGCUAGUUGGUAAGGUAACGGCUUACCAAGGCAACGAUGCGUAGCCGACCUGAGAGGGUGAUCGGCCACACUGGAACUGAGACACGGUCCAGACUCCUACGGGAGGCAGCAGUAGGGAAUCUUCCGCAAUGGGCGAAAGCCUGACGGAGCAACGCCGCGUGAGUGAUGAAGGUCUUCGGAUCGUAAAACUCUGUUAUUAGGGAAGAACAAAUGUGUAAGUAACUAUGCACGUCUUGACGGUACCUAAUCAGAAAGCCACGGCUAACUACGUG